GAGACUCUGUGCGCGUGCAUAUCAAUAAGCGGAGGAAAAGAAACUAACAAGGAUUCCCUAGUAACGGCGAGUGAAGCGGGAAGAGCUUAAAUUUGAAAUCUUAAAGGUUUUCCCUUGACGAAUUGUAGUUUAAAGAAGUGUUUUCUGUUGGAGUUUUCGGUAAAAGUUCUUUGGAAUAGGACAUCAUAGAGGGUGAGAAUCCCGUAUUUGACCAUUACUUUCCAGCUGUGUGAUACACUUUCAAAGAGUCGGAUUGUUUGGGAAUGCAGUCCAAAAUGGGUGGUAAAUUUCAUCUAAAGCUAAAUAUUGGCGAGAGACCGAUAGCGAACAAGUACCGUGAGGGAAAGGAUGAAAAGAACUUUGAAAAGAGAGUUAAACAGUACGUGAAAUUGUCAAAAGGGAAGCGUUUGACACCAGUGUUGUUUAGUUGAAAAUCAAUUCAAUAGUUUUUGAUUCUAAGUAGUAUUGACUUCAUCAGCUUGCUGCUUUCUUCUCAGAAAUUAUUGAAUGCACUUUUCAGUUAACAAGUCAACAUCAAUUUCUUUUGUUGUAAAAGGGUAAGAGGAAGGUGGCUUACGCUUCGGCGUAAGUGUUUAUAGCCUUUUACCUCUGCAAUCGGAGAGAUUGGGGACAGCAGCGUAGACUCUUCGGGGUUAGAUACACUUGUGCUAAGCUAUAGCCUUGUAUAGACAACUUGUUGACUAUGCUCAGUCAUGUAGCUUACUCGCUUGUGCUAUUUUACCUACGCUUAGGAUGUUGACAGCAGUAUAGACUGU
rnacentral:rRNA from 1 species